AGGCGCCGUAAAGGGUGGGGUGGGGGACAUGUGAAAGCAGCUGCUGCCUAGGGGGUGGGAGGGUGAUGACCAGGGCAACUUGGGGUGGGGGGAAAGGCGGGAACAAAUGUUGCCCCUGGGUAGUUGUGGCUUGGUUUGGUGCACUGAAUCGCUGUGGGCCUCAAGGUGGACCUGGCCAACCGGCGAGUUUUGUUGUGUUUUUUUUUUUUUUUUUAAGAGGGUGUACCCACCUACAAGGCCCAGAUUUCGCAGACCCGAAGGCAGGCCAGCAGGCCAGCCCCUGGCGACUGGCGGGGAGGGAGACGCCGGCCGGGCUGGGUUGGGCUGGGCUGGGGCGGUAUUUCCUGGGGGGCCAAACGGUCGUCUUGCCCCAGGGCCUAGAGGCGUAUCCAGUCCCCAGGAAAAGUGCAUUAAGGGGAGGACCUAAGUACCUUUGGAUUCAUUUCUUUCCCUCUUCUCUAACCCUAAUUUUGCCAGUUCUGCCAGGGCAAGGGCAUCUCUCCGCACAUAGGCAUUUUCUUUUACCCUUCUUCCUGAAUUCAGGCUAAAGACUCCAAGCCACUGUAACAGGUCUAUCGCAGAUAAGCCUACCCAGCCUAGUGGAAGCGGGGACAAGGAUUUUGUGUGUAUAUGCGCGUGGGUGGCAUUUUGUUUGUGUUUUUCCCUCGGUGUAAGUUGGAGUUUAGACGUGACCAUGGGAACUAUCAUCAUGGGGCAAAAUUUUUGUUGAAAAUAACUUAAACACCCAUUACCACCAUCCGCUUGCAAGACUGGUUGAGGAGGACAAUCCCUGCUCUUAAAACUUCACCUUUCUGGGAAGAGGAGAGUUCUCAGGGCCAUUUCGCCUCCCAAGCAAUUUAUCAGCAGAGUGAAGGGUGCAAAUACCCAGAGACAGAGAGAGUGGGAACAGGAUUGGGGGUGAAAGUGGAGGGUUCUGGAGACUAAGUGACCUCUACUUGACAAACACCCAGAAAACAGGUGCCUGGCAGAACGCGAGCGGGAAAUAAGAGGUUUCUACUUUCUUUUGAGUUACUUGCUAAAAUCUACUUAAGUAGAAAGAUCCUCUCCGCAGGAUAUAAAUUCUAAGAACGUGAAACCCGCAUCUUUAAUAGCAGAAGCAGGAGGCCCUGCUCAAAUCAAGUUCUAGGUAGGCACAGGGUGGCUGCCAGAGAAGGGAGUUCUAAAAGGGAGGAUGGUCGAGAACAGGAUAGCUAGGUCUCUGGGUGGGGGUGGGGGGGGCGGCUUUGUGUGGCGGACCGGGUCGCGGGGCCCGGCUCCACUAGCCUUCUCCGAGGGUUAGGGGAGGAGGGGGAGGGGGAGGAGAAAGGGGUGAGGAGGGGAGGGGGCGGCCGCAGGAUUGACAGUCCGUAAUUGGGUAACUGGAGGCGGCUUCUCCCGGCCGGGCGGCCCCGCCACUGAGACGCCGGGCCCCUGACGUCACCUGAUUCGCCAGGAAAUGAACUUUUUAAUAAUCCGAGAAGGAAAAGACCCUGAGCCCUCUCACCCCCUCUGCACCCGGGACCAACCGUCCGGGCUCCCCGGUGCUGGACCGAACUUUCAAGAACACUUCACCCCCUACCAGGGCCCCAAGGGGCCGGGUUCCGACCUCUCCCGUGGUAAGGAGGCGGAGGCGCGUGACACCAACAUUUGUCCCACUUUCCUUUCUGCAAUUCGGUUUCCCCGCUAGGUUUGUUUGUCUGUCCAGGUAGGGUGAGGGGAGGGAAUCUCUGCAAGAAAAGAUGGAAGAUGGAGCUGGGUAGCCUGGGCUCUACCGUGGGUCGUAGAUUCCUCCCCACCCUCAGAUCCGCUUCCUUAGCCCAAUGCUCUCCUCCCCGUUCGCCGAUCGCCGCUGGCGGCCUCAGCCCCAGCUGGCCCUAGGACCGAAGGUCAGCAGAGGAGAGCUCGGCUGUCUUAUCCGGGAGGUAGAAAAUGAUCCGGAAGGUUGGGAGAAGCAAGAGGAACUCAGCCCGAGCCAUCCCCAGUCCCUGGGUUCUUGCUCCGGGAACCGAAAACUGGUCUGAGGCGGAGAAACCCGGCGCCAGUAGGUGGGACACGUUUUCGGGCGGUCUUAGGCUGCGGCCCCCGGGGUCAGAGCCCAAGAGGUCGCACAGCGGGCGGCCGGGCAAAAAGCUGGGGGGGAGGUGGGGGGAGAGAGUUGUUUGAAAUUAUUUUUCCUCUUAGAGUGACGCUGGCGCCUUCUGGGGAAAGUUUUUGUUGCAAAUUCUAACUACCAUGGCUCCAGGGGGCCAACAUUAGGGCUUCUCCGAGAACUUGCAACCUUAACUUUCCGCAGAUGAUAAAAAAAAUAAAAAUAAAACGAGCCCCCUUCCCUCCCCAAGAAA